GACGAACGCUGGCGGCGUGCUUAACACAUGCAAGUCGAACGGAAAGGCCCUGCUUUUGUGGGGUGCUCGAGUGGCGAACGGGUGAGUAACACGUGAGUAACCUGCCCUUGACUUUGGGAUAACUUCAGGAAACUGGGGCUAAUACCGGAUAGGAGCUCCUGCUGCAUGGUGGGGGUUGGAAAGUUUCGGCGGUUGGGGAUGGACUCGCGGCUUAUCAGCUUGUUGGUGGGGUAGUGGCUUACCAAGGCUUUGACGGGUAGCCGGCCUGAGAGGGUGAACGGCCACAUUGGGACUGAGAUACGGCCCAGACUCCUACGGGAGGCAGAAGUGGGGAAUAUUGCACAAUGGGCGGAAGCCUGAUGCAGCGACGCCGCGUGCGGGAUGACGGCCUUCGGGUUGUAAACCGCUUUCGCCUGUGACGAAGCGUGAGUGACGGUAAUGGGUAAAGAAGCACCGGCUAACUACGUG
rnacentral:rRNA from 1 species